UAGGGAAUAUUGGGCAAUGGGGGAAACCCUGACCCAGCAACGCCGCGUGAGGGAAGAAGGCCUAACGGUUGUAAACCUCUGUCAUAUGGGAAGAAGGAAUGACAGUACCAUAUGAGGAAGCUCCGGCUAACUACGUGCCAGCAGCCGCGGUAAUACGUAGGACCCAAGCGUUGUCCGGAAUUACUGGGUGUAAAGGGUGCGCAGGCGGGCUUGUGCGUCAGAGGUUAAAUCCCACCGCUUAACGGUGGAACUGCCUUUGAUACGGCAAGUCUUGAAUGCGAGCGAGGUAGGUAGAAUUCCUGGUGUAGCAGUAAAAUGCGUAGAUAUUACACAGAACACCGAUUGCGAAGGCAGCUUACUGGGCCAUUACUGACGCUGAUGCACGAAAGCGUGGGGAGCGAACA
rnacentral:rRNA from 1 species